AACGAACGCUGGCGGCAGGCCUAACACAUGCAAGUCGAGCGAGCAUUUCGGUGCUAGCGGCGGACGGGUGAGUAACGCGUGGGAACGUGCCCUUUUCUGCGGAAUAGUCCUGGGAAACUGGGGGUCAUACCGCAUACGCCCUUUUGGGGAAAGAUUUAUCGGGGAAGGAUCGGCCCGCGUUGGAUUAGGUAGUUGGUGGGGUAAUGGCCCACCAAGCCGACGAUCCAUAGCUGGUUUGUGAGGAUGAUCAGCCACACUGGGACUGAGACACGGCCCAGACUCGUACGGGAGGGAGCAGUGGGGAAUCUUAGACAAGGGGGGCAACCCUGAGCGAGCCAUGCCGCGGGAGUGAUGAAGGCCGUAGGGUUGUAAAGCUCUUUCAGCUGGGAAGAUAAUGACGGUACCAGCAGAAGAAGCCCCGGCUAACUCCGUG
rnacentral:rRNA from 1 species